rnacentral:rRNA from 1 species
UACGUAGGGGGCAAGCGUUGUCCGGAUUUAUUGGGCGUAAAGAGCGUGUAGGCGGCUUGGUAGGUCCGCUGUGAAAACUCGAGGCUCAACCUCGAGAUGUCGGCGGAAACCGCUUGGCUAGAGUCCGGAAGAGGAGAGUGGAAUUCCCGGUGUAGCGGUGAAAUGCGCAGAUAUCGGGAAGAACACCUAUGGCGAAGGCAGCCCUCUGGGACGGUACUGACGCUGAGACGCGAAAGCGUGGGGAGCGAACAGG